rnacentral:rRNA from 1 species
GACAGAGGGUGCAAACGUUGUUCGGAAUUACUGGGCGUAAAGCGUGUGUAGGCGGUCUGCUAAGUCGGGUGUGAAAGCCCUGGGCUCAACCCAGGAAGUGCACUCGAAACUGGCAGGCUAGAGUACUGGAGAGGGUGGCGGAAUUCCCCAAGUAGAGGUGAAAUGCGUAGAGAUGUGGAGGAACACCGAUGGCGAAGGCAGCCUCCUGGGCCAGCACUGACGCUCAUGCACGAAAGCGUGGGGAGCAAACAGG